ensembl:misc_RNA Y_RNA Y RNA
GGCUGGUCCGAUGGCAGUGGAUUAUCAGAACUUAUUAACAUUAGUGUCACUAAAGUUGGUAUACCACCACCACCCCCCCCACACACUGCUAAAUUUGACUGGCUUAAA